UUGAAGUAUACACUCUCUCUUUCAUCUACAAACACUCUCUACAAAUACUUCUUCUCUAAAACCUCCAUUCUUAUAUAUAUAUAUAUAUAUACACAAGGUUUUAGUUAUACAAGCUUUUGUUCAUCCAACCAAGCUUUGUCUCACCACUUUAGCUCCUUAACCACUACCAUCUUGCCUCCCGAAGGGCUGCCCAAAUUCGUCCGUGUGCUUAUAGUCCUACCGAAUCUCCGGCGAAUUUUUCCGGCGAACUUUCCGA
rnacentral:lncRNA from 1 species